ANCCGGNNGAAGGUGGGGACGACGUCAAGUCAUCAUGGCCCUUACGAGUAGGGCUACACACGUGCUACAAUGGCGCAUACAGAGGGCAGCAAGCUAGCGAUAGUGAGCGAAUCCCAAAAAGUGCGUCGUAGUCCGGAUUGGAGUCUGCAACUCGACUCCAUGAAGUCGGAAUCGCUAGUAAUCGUGGAUCAGAAUGCCACGGUGAAUACGUUCCCGGGCCUUGUACACACCGCCCGUCACACCAUGGGAGUGGGCUGCAAAAGAAGUAGGUAGUUAAC
rnacentral:rRNA from 1 species